CCUACGGGCGACAGCAGUGGGGAAUAUUGCGCAAUGGGCGAAAGCCUGACGCAGCGACGCCGCGUGAGGGAUGAAGGUCUUCGGAUCGUAAACCUCUGUCAGCAGGGAAGAACGGUCACUGUGCUAAUCAGCAGUGAAUUGACGGUACCUGCAAAGGAAGCACAGGCUAACUCCGUGCCAGCAGCCGCGGUAAUACGGAGGGUGCGAGCGUUAAUCGGAAUUACUGGGCGUAAAGCGAUCGUAGGCGGUAUGUCAAGUCAAGGGUGAAAUCCCCGCGCUCAACGUGGGAACUGCCUUUGAAACUGGCAGACUGGAGUGUGUGAGAGGAUAGUGGAAUUCCAGGUGUAGGAGUGAAAUCCGUAGAUAUCUGGAGGAACAUCAGUGGCGAAGGCGACUAUCUGGCACAUAACUGACGCUGAGGAGCGAAAGCGUGGGUAGCAAACAGGAUUAGAUACCCCGGUAGUC
rnacentral:rRNA from 1 species